UAGUUCACGAGAAAUUUGUGCAAAAGUUGGUAGUUCAUAUAGAAAAAGGUAAUUACCGCUCCCUUCUUUUAUUUCUUUUUUUCUUAUUUCUCUUGUCUUUCCUCUUUCAUUCUUGUCCUCCUCUUCCGACGAGAUACAUAGAGCAAGAUUGAGAGAGUGAGAGAUAGAGAACGAGAGGGUGAGAGAAUAGAGAGACCGAGAAUGAGAGAUGAAAUUGGGAGAGAGAGAGAGAGAGAGAGAGAAGACCGAUUGAAGAGGGAGAGAAUCGGAGACGCAGAGAGAAGCCGUGAGGCCCGAUCCUCCGUGGGUCUGAUUUCCGGCGAACUCGAGAGGCAGGGAGAGAAAUCAGAAGCCGAUUUCCGACGGGUCAAAGUGAUUUCCGGCGACUGGGUUGAAAAUCAUCCCUUUGAUGAUUUCCGAUGGGUGCGAAGUCCGGUGGCCUGAGACGCGAUUUUCGGCAAUCAUCGCCGGUGUGCCAGGGCUGUGAUUUCCGGUAGAUUAUCUAGAUGCAUGGAGACAAUGGAGUGGACUGGGGACUCCAGUUGAAAUAUAAAAUUUGUCACCUAACAGUUGCCUUCUAUAAUGGCCAGUUGCUCACCAAACGGUGUAUAUUGACUAUCAAUAACUACAAUUUAUUUAUAUAAUAUUAUUAUUAUUA